AGAGUUUGAUUCUGGCUCAGGACGAACGUUGGCGGUGUGUCUAAGGCAUGCAAGUCGAACGAGAUCGCUUUCUUCGGAAAGCAUUAUAUCUAGUGGCAGACGGCUGAGUAACGCGUAAGUAACUUACCCUAGAGUGGGGAAUAACACAGAGAAAUCUGUGCUAAUACCGCAUACGAUUUAUUGAUAAUUUCUAUAAAUGAAAGAUUUAUCGCUCUUGGAUGGGCUUGCGUCCUAUCAGGUAGUUGGCGGGGUAAUGGCCCACCAAGCCUAAGACGGGUAGCUGGUGUGAGAGCACGACCAGCCAGAGGGGGACUGAGACACGGCCCCCACUCCUACGGGAGGCAGCAGCUAAGAAUAUUGCACAAUGGACGAAAGUCUGAUGCAGCGACACCGCGUGAGGGAUGAAGGUUUUAGGAUUGUAAACCUCUUUUAUUAGGGAAUAGCAAGGAAGGUACCUAAUGAAUAAGCUACGGCUAACUACGUGCCAGCAGCCGCGGUAAUACGUAGGUAGCGAACGUUGUCCGGAAUCACUGGGCGUAAAGGGUCCGUAGGCGGUUUGAUAAGUCUCAUAUGAAAACUUCAAGCUCAACUUGGAGAGGUUGUGAGAUACUGUCAAACUAGAGACUGUUAGAGGUAAGUGGAAUUCCAGGUGUAGUGGUGAAAUGCGUAGAUAUCUGGAGGAACACCAGUGGCGAAAGCGACUUACUGGGACAGUUCUGACGCUAAGGGACGAAAGCGUGGGGAGCGAACCGGAUUAGAUACCCGGGUAGUCCACGCCGUAAACGAUGAUUGCUAGGUUUUCGGGGCAUCGACCCCUCGUGAGCCGAAGUUAACGCGUUAAGCAAUCCGCCUGAGUAGUACGGCCGCAAGGCUAAAACUCAAAGAAAUUGACGGGGGACCGCACAAGCAGCGGAGCGUGUGGUUUAAUUCGAUGGUAAGCGAAGAACCUUACCAGGGUUUGACAUGUAAGUAGUACUGAACCGAAAGGGGAUGGACCCGCAAGGGAGCUUACACAGGUGUUGCAUGGUUGUCGUCAGCUCGUGCCGUGAGGUGUUGGGUUAAGUCCC
rnacentral:rRNA from 1 species